rfam:Felis catus isolate Cinnamon breed Abyssinian chromosome B3, whole genome shotgun sequence.
GCCUGGGUGGCUCAGUCAGUUGAGCGCCUGACUCUUGAUUUCGGCUCAGGUCAUGAUUCCAGGGUCAUGGGAUCGAACCCCGUGUCAGGCU